UACGAAGGGGGCUAGCGUUGCUCGGAAUCACUGGGCGUAAAGCGCACGUAGGCGGAUCUUUAAGUCAGGGGUGAAAUCCCAAGGCUCAACCUUGGAACUGCCUUUGAUACUGGGAUCUCGAGUCCGGAAGAGGUGAGUGGAACUGCGAGUGUAGAGGUGAAAUUCGUAGAUAUUCGCAAGAACACCAGUGGCGAAGGCGGCUCACUGGCCCGAUACUGACGCUGAGGCACGAAAGCGUGGGAGCAACAGG
rnacentral:rRNA from 1 species